UACGAAGGGGGCUAGCGUUGCUCGGAAUCACUGGGCGUAAAGCGCACGUAGGCGGACUCUUAAGUCGGUGGUGAAAUCCUGGAGCUCAACUCCAGAACUGCCUUCGAUACUGGGAGUCUCGAGUUCGGGAGAGGUGAGUGGAGCUGCGAGUGUAGAGGUGAAAUUCGUAGAUAUUCGCAAGAACACCAGUGGCGAAGGCGGCUCACUGGCCCGAUACUGACGCUGAGGUGCGAAAGCGUGGGGAGCAAACAGG
rnacentral:rRNA from 1 species